UACUUAUAUUACCAUAUUUUUCUCAAAAAUAUCUUCUCAAAUACAUAAGUUCAUAAAUACAUAGAGGUUAUUAAACAUUAAUUUUGUAAAUGUGUUCUAAAAUUUAUUCUUUAUUCAUUAGCUAAACAGUAUUCUAGAUCUUUGUAAUUCAAUACCUAAAAUAGUAAGCGAUCUUGGAUUUAUUGGUACAGAUGUUCAUAACGAGGCGAAGGUCUUGAGUGAGAAAUUCGUUGCUUUGUUCUCCAAAUACUCGACAUGCUACAAUUUUAUAAAUUCAAGUGAAAUAAUUAAAAAGAAUCCAUUAUCAGAAUUAGAAAGAGCCAUUGAUGAAUUAAUGAGUUACUUUCGUAAAACAUGGCCCAAUGAGUCCAUUACUCCAAAAAUGCAUUUGUUAGAAAGUCAUUGUGUUGAUUUUAUUAGAAAUUAGAAUUUGGGUCUUGAUAUUUAUGGAGAGCAAGGUUUAGAAAGCAUGCAUGCCGAAUUCAACAGUAUGAACAGCACAUUUUGUCAUAUGAAAGGAAAGCAAAGACUGAGAAGUAUUUUGUCCAAUCACUAUAUCAAAAACUCUCCAGAAGCUUUAAUAAUUAGACCAACUAUUAAAAAAAGAAAGCCUUAUAAAAGAAAAGCUUGAAAACGUGAAACUUUAUAGAUGAAUUUUAGAAUCAAAAAAUGUAUAUUAUAUAA